rnacentral:rRNA from 1 species
UACGUAGGGGGCAAGCGUUGUCCGGAUUUAUUGGGCGUAAAGGGCUCGUAGGCGGUCUGUCGCGUCGGGAGUGAAAACUCAGGGCUUAACCCUGAGCCUGCUUCCGAUACGGGCAGACUAGAGGUAUGCAGGGGAGAACGGAAUUCCUGGUGUAGCGGUGGAAUGCGCAGAUAUCAGGAGGAACACCGGUGGCGAAGGCGGUUCUCUGGGCAUUACCUGACGCUGAGGAGCGAAAGUGUGGGGAGCGAACAGG